AGCGAACGCUGGCGGCAGGCCUAACACAUGCAAGUCGAACGAAGUCUUCGGACUUAGUGGCGGACGGGUGAGUAACACGUGGGAACGUGCCUUUAGGUUCGGAAUAACUCAGGGAAACUUGUGCUAAUACCGAAUGUGCCCUUCGGGGGAAAGAUUUAUCGCCUUUAGAGCGGCCCGCGUCUGAUUAGCUAGUUGGUGAGGGAAAGGCUCACCAAGGCGACGAUCAGUAGCUGGUCUGAGAGGAUGAUCAGCCACAUUGGGACUGGGACACGGCCCAAACUCCUACGGGAGGCAGCAGUGGGGAAUCUUGCGCAAUGGGCGAAAGCCUGACGCAGCCAUGCCGCGUGAACGAUGAAGGUCUUAGGAUUGUAAAAUUCUUUCACCGGGGACGAUAAUGACGGUACCCGGAGAAGAAGCCCCGGCUAACUUCGUGCCAGCCGCCGCAGUAAUAC
rnacentral:rRNA from 1 species